CACACACACACACACAACAAAUCGAUAGAUCUGUUUGAUUUUUUUUUCGCGGCACUGUCCUCACUGCUGUCGGGGGUUUCACUUCCGCUGACAGACGGCACCAAUGGACAGUGAAGUGCAGAGAGACGGCAGAAUACUGGAUCUCAUUGACGACGCCUGGCGCGAGGACAAAUUGCCCUAUGAAGAUGUAGAAAUACCUUUGAGUGAACUCCCAGAACCGGAACAGGACAACGGAGGAACGACUGAAUCCAUCAAUGAACAAGAUAUGAAAUGGACUGACCUAGCCUUACAGAACCUGCAUGAAAAUACCCCGUCUGCAGGAAGCUAGCUGCUAAAUAUAGAACUACCAUAGCAGUAAAAACAUCUUUUCACACUGACCUACAUCAUAUAUAUUGAUUUACAUCUUAUAUGCUGAUAUGCAUUCUGAGGUGAUGCACCUCACAACUGGAACUCUUUCAUUAAGGCUCACUGUAUUCAUCAAUGUCCAUCAAAUUGUUUGCACAUGUGGGACUUUGGAAGCUGAAAGUGUAACCAUUGAAAUGAACGAAAGCAGAAGCCCUGAACUGCUACCAUUGUACAAACUCCAAGAAAAUCGACAUGUGCGAUAAUCAUCAGGAAGCUUGUUCAGAAAAUCAAACAGUGUGCCUCACCUCCGUGGAAAUCAAAGGGUUUAGCCAGAGUAAGUCACGAAGGUCAUUUUUUUAAGCUUCCUAGAAUAAGUGAGGUGAUAUAAGUAGUUUUACUUCAACACGACCUACUUUACAGAUCAAAGGGAUGUGUUUGUUAAUUAAUUGCAAUAGACCAGAAAGGAUAUCCAGGAGUGGUGUCUCGAGAGACUGAGAAAAUCAGUAUGAAGGAUGACAGGGACUAGUUACAACACUUUCACGGAGCGUGGAAAGCAUUGGAGAGAAAAUUAAAUCAGAAAAUUUAGUGGGAAACUACUUGAAAGGGCAACUUUUGAGUUGAAGUCAUCAAUAUUAGUAAAUAUAGUCAUUAAUAAUCCUUACCUUUCUGCCUUUCAUGUUUGACGGGUGGGGUUUGGACAGCGCCUAAGUAUGCUUCACGUGAUAUACUGUAAAGUAUGGUGACUAUUUUGCACGUAAACAAUUUUGACAGAUUGACAGCCUUUCGCUAUUGCCUUACACAAAUAAAAAUAUGCUGAAUUACAUAUUUGGCAAUAAUUGGAGACCAUUUUAACAGUACGUCUGUUUUAGUAUUUCCAUACUUAAAAUAUCAAAAUAUGUAGAUCAUUUAGUAUCUUUAUUUAUGUCAGGCUGUAGUAUCAAUAACAAUAAUAAUCCUUGAAUUUGAUU